rnacentral:rRNA from 1 species
UAGAGUUUGAUCAUGGCUCAGAGUGAACGCUGGCGGCAUGCCUAACACAUGCAAGUCGAACGGUAACAGGCCCGCAAGGGUGCUGACGAGUGGCGGACGGGUGAGGAAUACAUCGGAAUUUGCCCAGUCGUGGGGGAUAACGUAGGGAAACUUACGCUAAUACCGCAUACGACCUAACGGUGAAAGCGGGGGAUCGCAAGACCUCGCGCGAGUGGAUGAGCCGAUGUCGGAUUAGCUAGUUGGCGGGGUAAAGGCCCACCAAGGCGACGAUCCGUAGCUGGUCUGAGAGGAUGAUCAGCCACACUGGGACUGAGACACGGCCCAGACUCCUACGGGAGGCAGCAGUGGGGAAUAUUGGACAAUGGGGGCAACCCUGAUCCAGCAAUGCCGCGUGUGUGAAGAAGGCCUUCGGGUUGUAAAGCACUUUUAGUGGGGAUGAAAAGCUCAGGGCUAAUACCUCUGGGUCUUGACCUAACCCACAGAAAAAGCACCGGCUAACUACGUGCCAGCAGCCGCGGUACGCC